rnacentral:sRNA from 1 species
GAGAGCAUCCCAGGACCACUGAACAUUCAGAGGUCUAUUUCUGGCAUCUCUUUCCACAGCACAGGCAGCCUUGCAGAAUGAAAAGUAUUUCUCCCACCUGCCCUGGCCUCUGCCCUGGCUCUGAAAGAGGCAGGCUGUGAAUGAUGGUUGUCAGUGUCUGGAGUUUUCACUGAAAAACAGUCCCCUGAAAUGGAAAGACACACAGAGGGGAGUGAUCUCAUCGCCACUGAUUUUUCCCAACUUUCAGUUUUGUAUCUCCAUGGUGGAACUCGAUACAGCAGCAUCCCUCAGUGGUUCCAGCCCAGAAGUGCAAGGGGAAGCCGGCUGCCUGUUCAUGAAUUCUGUAGCUCAAAAAGCAGAGGCCGAGAAAGCAAAAUUUCAAACCUUUGUCAGAAAGGGUGAGACCUUGCUCAGCACGAUAGCUGAGAACAGCUUCCUCCUUCAAUGCUGGUCUCUCUAUACUGACAGUUGACAGCUGAUGAUCCCACAUUCUCAGUCAUGCGAAUGACCUCACCUGAGCACCAGUUUGUAACGGAUGUUUAAGAGGAAAGCAAGGGAAUUAAAUGCUGCACAGGAAUUUGGCACUUCUGUACAGAAAUAGAAAAACUAAAUGAAACUUAUAGUACCUUCCACUCAACUAAGAUUCUUGUGAAGCAAAGUAUAUCUGGGAAAAUAUAGUAAUAUGGUUAUUUUGUGUUCAUAGUGUGUGACUCUACUUAUAAGCACUUUUUAAUCAUUAUAAUCAAUCACUUUAAAGAUCUUAGAGGGAACUUAUUAAUCAAAAUUUAAGCCUUCUUUAAAAAAAAAAAAACUUCCCAUAUACUAAUUUUGCACAGAAGCAAAAGAUUAGAUUGGGAUUCUGCCUGUUGUGGAGAGACAAAGACAAGAGUGCUCCAGAUUUCUGUGUUUGUGUUUUUACUUCAUACUUUCAAUGCGUCCGCAAGAAUAGACUUGUGUUUCUCUUCUUAAUACACAAUGGUUAGAGCUCACAGAAUACUCAGCCUGCCUGCACCCAGGUGAAAUAAACAGCAUUUUUGCUCACACAUAGCCUGUUUGGUGGUCUCUUCACAUGGAUGCGCAUGAAAUUUGGUGCUGUGACUCGGAUCCGGAGACCUCCCUUGGGAGAUAAAAUCCCCUGUCCUCCUGCUCUUUGCUCCGUGAAAAAGAUCCACCUACGACCUCAAGUCCUCAGACCCACCAGCCCAAGGAACAUCUCACCAAUUUUAAAUCAGCAAAAUGACAUGAAUGACUGAAAAAGCAUGUGGAGCACAAGACUCAAGAACUAAGUGAAAGGACUCACACUUCCUGAUUUCAAGUAAAGCUACAGCAAUCAAGACGUGGCAUUGAUGUAAGAAUAGACACAUCAAUGAAUGAAACAGAAUACAUCUUCCAGAAAUAAAUUCACACAAAUAUAGUCAAGAGGUUUUUUGUGUGCUAAAGUGUAUAUAAUAUUUACCAUUUUAACCAUUUUUAAGUGCACAGUUCAGAAGCAUUAAGAAUAAACAACGUUGUAUAACCAUCACCAUUAUCCAGUUCCAGAAUUUUUCAUCACCUCACACAGAAACUCUGUACCUAUUAUCAACAAUAAAUUUUCAUUCCCCCCUUGCCCUCAGUCUCUGGUAACCACUAUUGAACUUUCUGUUUCUAUGAAUUUGCCCCUUCUCAGUGCCUAAUAUGAGUGGAAUAAUACAAUAUGGGUCCUUUGUGCCUAGUUUAUUUCACUUACUGUAAUGUUUUCAAGGUUCAUCCAUGUUAUAAUAUGGAUCAGAAUUUUAUUUCUUUUCAAGCAUGAAUAAUAGUCCAUGGUAUGUCUAUACCACAUUGUUUAUCCAUUCAUCAGCUGAUGGAUAUUUGGGGGUUGUUUCUAUCUUUUGGCUAUUGUAAAUGAUGAUGUUAUGAACAAUGGUGUAUAAUGUCUGUUUGAGCACUGCUUUGAAUUGUUUGGGGUAUAUACUUAGGAGCGGAAUUACUGGAUCAUAUGUCAAUUCUAUGUUUAAUUUUUGAGGAACUGUCGAGCUGUCUUUCACAGCAGCUGCAUAAUUUUACAUUCCCACCACAAUGCAUAAGAGCUUCAGUUUCUCAAAAUCUUUACCAACAUUUAUUUUUCUUUUUAAAAAUAUAUAAUAGCCAUACUAAUAGUAUAAAGUAAUAUUUCAUUGUGCAUUUGAUUUGCAUUUCCCUAAUGAUAACUGAUGUUGAGCAUCUUUUCACGUGCUUGUUGACCAUUUGUAUAUCUUCUUUUGAGAUAUGUCUAAUCAAGUCCUUUGUCCAUUUUUUAAUUGGGCUGGGUAUUAUUCUUCUGUUAUUGUUGAGUUGCAGGAGUUCUUUAUAUAUUCUGCAUAAAAGUUCCUUA